rnacentral:rRNA from 1 species
UAAUGGCAGGUCAGCAUACUGCCGUGAAUACGUUCCCGGGCCUUGUACACACCGCCCGUCGCACCAUGAGAGUUGGGAAUACCCGAAGCCUGUGAGCUAACUAUAUGAGGCAGCAGUCGAAGGUAGAAUCAAUGAUUGGGGUGAAGUCGUAACAAGGUACC